rnacentral:rRNA from 1 species
CCUACGGGAGGCAGCAGUGGGGAAUAUUGCGCAAUGGGCGAAAGCCUGACGCAGCGACACCGCGUGAGGGAUGAAGGUCUUCGGAUCGUAAACCUCUGUCAGCAGGGAAGAACGGUCACUGUGCUAAUCAGCAGUGAAUUGACGGUACCUGCAAAGGAAGCACCGGCUAACUCCGUGCCAGCAGCCGCGGUAAUACGGAGGGUGCGAGCGGUAAUCGGAAUUACUGGGCGUAAAGCGCUCGUAGGCGGGAUGUCCAGUCAAGGGUGAAAGCCCCGCGCUGAACGUGGGAACUGCCUUUGAAGCUGGCAAACUUGAGUGUGUGAGAGGAUAGUGGAAUUCCAGGUGUAGGAGUGAAAUCCGUAGAUAUCUGGAGGAACAUCAGUGGCGAAGGCGACUAUCUGGCACAUAACUGACGCUGAGGAGCGAAAGCGUGGGUAGCAAACAGGAUUAGAUACCCCGGUAGUC